CCUACUCUUCAAUUAUACGAACAAACGUCGCGUUAUCUCGGCAUUGUCUCGAUUAUCACGGCGAAAAUCUGUGGCUUUUAGUUUACAGCUUUCAGUCAGCUGUAAUAGUGUUUUCCGUUGUGUUCGUAUGCCGGCGAACUUUAUAACAACUUUAGGCGGAAAUGUGCGUAAAACAUUAAACGCGUACUUUAAAAUCGAUUAAUGGUUUAUUGAUCAAUAAAUCGGUGUAACAGUCCAUUCCAUCAGUACGGAUGUUGGUUUCCUAUCGCUGGCUAAUCCCAUGGAAAAUCACCUUUACGUUUCGGAAUCAAGCUUACAGUGCCCAGGACUUCAGGCCAAGACAAGAUUGAUUUUGGACCACAUAUUGUCAGUUUUAUCAUCCCAACGCAGCAAAGGCAAAGAAGAUCUAGGAGAUAACCUGCAGUCUAAAUGGUGGACGAUCAAAGGCAAUGGAAAUGUACAGUUAAGCAGGACAUCAAGUCCAGCAGAAAACAUUAGCACUAUCAUGUCGAUGUCGUUUCUCUAAUGUAAACUCAAUCAAAGCAACAGGAACGUAAACGAAAUGAUUUGAAAUUGGGAUCAACCAGAGUCACACACUGUAAAGCUUCCCAGUACCAAUAAUGGUGUAAUCCAAUUCAAUAGAAAUGUGGAGUUUACAGAACAUUGAAAAGAGGAUAAUCAAGCUCCAAUUCAAAAGUCCACAUCACCCAAAGCAAGUUAUCAAGACAAAACAUGGAGGCAAGACUGACCCUCCAAAUCUACAAAACUACCCAAAGCUAAAGGUGGUCGUCCAAUCUAUUGGAGAUAUAAAGUCAACAAAGACAUGUAAGUACAUAUUUAUUAUAUCGUAGGCAGUUGAUUAAAAUUACA